rnacentral:rRNA from 1 species
CUUGAUCAAUUAUAAGAGGUCAAGCCUGCCCAGUGACAUUGUUCAACGGCCGCGGUAUCCUAACCGUGCGAAGGUAGCGUAAUCACUUGUCCUUUAAAUAAGGACUAGUAUGAACGGCUUCACGAAGGCUAUACUGUCUCCUUAAUCUAAUCAAUUAAACUAAUCUCCCCGUGAAGAAGCGGGGAUUCGUCUAUAAGACGAGAAGACCCUAUGGAGCUUUAAACAUCUAAGACACUUGAUUAUAUCUACUAAACUUCAUGCAACCUAUCAUUUUGUCUUAAGUUUUAGGUUGGGGUGACCACGGAGAAAAAUUAAACCUCCACGUAGAAAGAAAAUUCUUUUCUAAGCAAAAAGCCACAUCUUAACGCAUCAAUAUAUUGACUUAAAUUGACCCA